rnacentral:rRNA from 1 species
AAUUGCGAAGGCAGCUUACCGGGUUACCACUGACGCUGAUGUACGACAGCGUGGGGAUCAAACAGGAUUAGAUACCCUGGUAGUCCACGCCGUAAACGAUGAAUACUCGCUGUUUGCGAUAUACCGCAAGCGGCCAAGCGAAAGCAUUAAGUAUUCCACCUGGGGAGUACGUUCGCAAGAAUGAAACUCAAAGGAAUUGACGGGGGCCCGCACAAGCGGAGGAACAUGUGGUUUAAUUCGAUGAUACGCGAGGAACCUUACCCGGGCUUGAAAUGCAAUCGACUGACUUGGAAACAGGUCAUCCAGCAAUGGCGAUUGUGUAGGUGCUGCAUGGUUGUCGUCAGCUCGUGCCGUGAGGUGUCGGCUUAAGUGCCAUAACGAGCGCAACCCUUGCCGUUAGUUGCUAACAGGUUAUGCUGAGGACUCUAGCGGGACUGCCAUCGUAAGGUGCGAGGAAGGUGGGGAUGACGUCAAAUCAGCACGGCCCUUAUGUCCGGGGCGACACACGUGUUACAAUGGGGGGUACAGCGGGCAGCUACCGUGCGAGCGGAUGCUAAUCUCUGAAAGCCUCUCUCAGUUCGGAUCGGAGUCUGCAACUCGACUCUGUGAAGCCGGAUUCGCUAGUAAUCGCGCAUCAGCCAUGGCGCGGUGAAUACGUUCCCGGGCCUUGUACACACCGCCCGUCAAGCCAUGGAAGCCGGGGGUACCUGAAGUACGUCACCGUUAAGGAGCGUCCUAGGGUAAGACUGGUAACUGGGGCUAAGUCGUAACAAGGUAACC